UUGGCUUGUACUAUUUUUGUCGCAAGGAACUUCACCAAGUAAUCAUAUCCAUGACAAUAGAGAGCUUCAAUCUCUGCCCUUCUACCACUCUGAAUCAUAGCAGCCACCUCUUCUUUGUAGCUAUCCUGGAAAAAACCGAAUCUCUGAUGACAUUAAGCUCUUGGCAAUCUGGAGAUCUCGAGGUUUCAAAGGGACCAAACAUUCUUCAGAGAAACAGACUCCUAUAAGUGAAGUUAAGAAGACAACAAGGAUACAUGAUUCAACAUAACUUUUAAGAGAAAAGAGCACCAUAUCUGUAUGCUUCAAGUCCCAUCCCUAUGCUUCCAAACUUGAAGGUGCAAAGGAU